GAUUUAUUUAUUUAUUUAUAUAGACCUCCAGUAUAAGAUCAGUUUUACUUUCCUCCAUCUGCUGGAGCAUAGCCAGUGAGCCCCUGGUACUUUCUUAUCUGCACUCAGUGUAACUGCACUCACUCUGGAGCUGUUUUUAAGAUGGGCAUUUGUUUAUAAUGGAUUAGUCAUAGUGGAAGAAAGAUCCUGUGUUUACAAAUGCCUUUAUCUUAAUGUUACAAAAGUAAUUAUCGGUUCUUUAUUAUAGGCAGUAGAGUUGAUAUUUCAUAGUAACAUAAUAAAGGUAAUUGAUUAAUCUUUGUGUACCUUCAGGUUAAAUAACACCAUUUUAAAAAAGGACAGAAUCUAACAGUAUUUGGAGAAUGAUUUAAAUUCAGGUUCUCUGCCUGGAAAUGUCUUCCUAAAUCUCUCUCAGCCAUGUCACUCUUUAAAUUAUGAGAUGGUUCUUGGAGAAAUUGAUAUAAUGGUUCUAGACAGUGAUAACUCCAGACAUUGAAACCUUGAACCUUCUAAGAACAAACAUGAUUGGACUGUUUUCACUCCUCUCCCCCAUUGCUCCGGGAACCACUGAGUGCUUGCAUACGGAUAAAGAAGACUGGCGCCCUGCUAAGUGGCUUUCACUACAGACCAGGUUUCUUAAGGAAACAGAAUAAAAGGGACUGAAAGGAAGGGAAGGUAGAGUGUCCAAGAAAAGCCUUGGCUCCUGGCUGCUGCUGCCCCAGGGUCCUUCCUGUGUCCUCUCUGGCAUCAUUCUAGAAGGCCCAGCCCACACCCCCGCCCGGGGCCCAUGGGCCGCCUCUUGCUGAAUUGCUGCUGGGGGCCUGCUCUGUGACAGGUAUGGAAUGAGGUAAUCUUUUCCCACCUCUAAUUUCUGAAAGGUGUGUCUGUCCAGUUAUUACUUGUUCAUUGAACUGAAAGGUUCAGAAAGCAACAGCUCUGGUACAAGCUGUAAUUAUUGAUGUCUGUUUCAUAUUCAUCUGUAAGUUCUGGCAUUUGAUCAAGAAGCUAAUAUAUCACUUCAUUUUCAGGCUGAAUAUGCCUCAGCUAUAAACGUUAUAUUUUUUGAUGGAUAGUAUACAAUUACAACUGCCCAGAAUAAAAAGUGUUUUCAUUUGUAA